GGGCCCAUAGCUCAGCGGUAGAGCAUCUGACUUUUAAUCAGGGGGCCGAUGGUUCGAAUCCAUCUGGGCUCACCA
rnacentral:tRNA from 1 species